AUUGAACGCUGGCGGCAGGCCUAACACAUGCAAGUCGAGCGGAUGAAGGGAGCUUGCUCCUGGAUUCAGCGGCGGACGGGUGAGUAAUGCCUAGGAAUCUGCCUGGUAGUGGGGGAUAACGUCCGGAAACGGGCGCUAAUACCGCAUACGUCCUGAGGGAGAAAGUGGGGGAUCUUCGGACCUCACGCUAUCAGAUGAGCCUAGGUCGGAUUAGCUAGUUGGUGGGGUAAAGGCCUACCAAGGCGACGAUCCGUAACUGGUCUGAGAGGAUGAUCAGUCACACUGGAACUGAGACACGGUCCAGACUCCUACGGGAGGCAGGAGUGGGGAAUAUUGGACAAUGGGCGAAAGCCUGAUCCAGCCAUGCCGCGUGUGUGAAGAAGGUCUUCGGAUUGUAAAGCACUUUAAGUUGGGAGGAAGGGCAGUAAGUUAAUACCUUGCUGUUUUGACGUUACCAACAGAAUAAGCACCGGCUAACUUCGUG
rnacentral:rRNA from 1 species